GUUUGACUCCGCCGCCGGAGCUGCGGCCCGCGGAUUGAUUCGGGAACGACCGAGCUCCUUCCUUCUUUCCUUCCCCGUGCUGCUUGCCCAAAGGGAGCCGCCUCGCGUGCUGAGGACUGAGGGAGAAACUACAUCUCCCAGCAGCCUCCGCGGCCGCUCCGGCUGGCCUCUGGGACUUGUAGUCCUUUGACUCGGGGACGCUGCGUUCAGGAAGCCAUUGGCCAGGCUGCUACGUUCGGCCUGAGUAGGCGGAACAAGGGGGGGGGGGGGGAGGGUCGCUGGGAGAGGCCCUGGGGCCAGGCCUACGUUUCCCAGCAUGCCCGUCUGUGAGGCGGGAAGAAGUCUGAUCCGCGUGCCCGGGUAACCGCUGGUGUGGUAAAUUGGCCGUUGAAGGCAGCCUCGUGCCCGAGGGCAAGCCCGAGCCAGUGGGAACAGGCCAGUGCGACCUCUGCCUGUUGCCGAGAGCCGGACUGCCCAGGCCACGGCGCCCCGCUGCCGGGCGGUGGAGCCCUUCCGUUCACACCGCCCGCCGGUGCCCCAAAACCCACAGAACAAGCUACCUGCAGCGCCAGAGCCGGCUUUCUUCGACGCCUCCCGUGCCUCGUCAGCUCUCCGGCGGCUCGCGGCAGCAGGUGUGUGGUAUAAAAGCCCCGCCCAGCUCCUUAUGUGGAAUGGCUCCAGGAGUCCUGAUGGCAGUUUCCCCUGCUAGUACUGGACCAGUAAAGAAGGUGCAUCCAUGGAGUCAGGCCUUGAGGAGGUGGCACAUGGUUCAGGAAAAGCAGGAAAUGAGAAGAACCGAUGCCCAAUCUUAGUGAGAAGAAAUAGCUCCCACCUCUAUGCCAGCAGCCCAGCCCUCACCCAUCCUCCUGGAGAAGAGAGGAAAGCAAUACUGCUACCAUCUGGAAGCAGCCAACCUGGACCAGCUCAUUCUUCCAAAUUCUAAAUGGACAGCUAUUCUCCAGCAGAUUCAGCAAUACAGGAGUGCAUCAUUUCCCCCAAGUAGCUGGAUUUUUAAAGGACCCAGAAGAGUAACAUGACUGCAGAACUAAAGGGACAAAGCAUGAGAAAUACAAGCCUGGUUUCUACACUACUAAAAGAACUUUUAGAGAUUGACACCCAGGUUUUAAUGCAAAUGCCACUAGCUUCAGUAGACAUAAUCAGUGAUAACGAUGUUAUGGACCAUAAUACGAUGCAUACGUCUGAAGCAGUUGGACAAGAGAAAGCAAACAGAAUGAGCUGGAAGGUAUAGGCAGCAUGAAUAAAACCCGCAGAGGAGGAGGAGGAGAUGGUUAGAAUAAUGGAAGAACUUGACAAUGUACCUUGAAAACAAUUGGAUAAACUUAACAUAUCAAUGGGUGAGUGAGGCUCCUCCUCAGCAUUGGCCCAGAUCAAAAAUAUGAUAAUUUGGAUGAAGGAAGGAAGGUUAGUUUGGAUUCUGCUUAUAUUUAAUGUCUUAUAUUUGACAAUAUUAGACAUGGUUGGCAGGCUUUGUUGAAAAGUGGCCCAGAAUACAGUUAAUGUCGGGAAUUUGCUGUCAUCUCAUUAGAAUCCAUUCAAUUUAACACUGAACUGGGCAGGCUAAACAUUUAAGAGCCUCCCUGCAAAUUACCUGAUGUGAAUAAACGCAAGAGUCUAUUUUAAAUCAUUCUCAGUCCAUGCAUGUCACAAAACUUAAGAUAAUAAUUAAAAUAGAAGGAGUGCUCAGUAAUACUGAAAUGAGUCACUUGUACCAGACGUUUUAAUUGACCAUCAUUACACAAGGUACAUCCUUGCCUGGUUUAUCUGUAUGACAUGUUUCAGUGAUUAAAUUCUAGCUAGUCUUGUAACAAAUAUUUACCAAUGGCUUAUACAUCAUAUUUUCCAUCUGAUAUAGGUCCAUGUCUUUUAACAAAUGUGUGUUA